UGGGGAAUUUUGGACAAUGGGCGAAAGCCUGAUCCAGCAAUGCCGCGUGUGUGAAGAAGGCCUUCGGGUUGUAAAGCACUUUUGUCCGGAAAGAAAUCCUUGGCUCUAAUACAGUCGGGGGAUGACGGUACCGGAAGAAUAAGCACCGGCUAACUACGUGCCAGCAGCCGCGGUAAUACGUAGGGUGCAAGCGUUAAUCGGAAUUACUGGGCGUAAAGCGUGCGCAGGCGGUUUGCUAAGACCGAUGUGGAAUCCCCGGGCUCAACCUGGGAACUGCAUUGGUGACUGGCAGGCUAGAGUAUGGCAGAGGGGGGUAGAAUUCCACGUGUAGCAGUGAAAUGCGUAGAGAUGUGGAGGAAUACCGAUGGCGAAGGCAGCCCCCUGGGCCAAAUACUGACGCUCAUGCACGAAAGCGUGGGGAGCAAACAGGAUUAGAUACCCUGGAAGUCCACGCCCUAAACGAUGUCAACUAGUUGUUGGGGAUUCAUUUCCUUAGUAACGUAGCUAACGCGUGAAGUUGACCGCCUGGGGAGUACGGUCGCAAGAUU
rnacentral:rRNA from 1 species